CGGGUUGUGGCUCCUGCCACGCCGAUGAAUACUGUGAUUUCACUGGCGAAUGGGCUCACUGUGAGAAAUGCACUGUUUGUCCUCCAGGGUUCUUCCUGGUGUCCCAAUGCUCCAUUCACACAGACAGAAUGUGUCAGGAUAGAGAUGAGUGCUUGGAGAUACAAAACCUAUGUGGAGCGCAGAACCAGUGUCUCAAUACCCCAGGUGGAUUUAGGUGCACAGGGAUGUCUGUGAAAGAAGCAGCUGCCGGGAUGUGUGGCCAUGCGUACUUCUACAAUUUGGAGCUGGAGGAGUGCCAGGCUUGCUCCGAGUGUGAUUCCCAGACUGAG